rnacentral:rRNA from 1 species
UGGAUAAUGGCUGAACGCCUCUAAGUCAGAAUCCAUGCUGGCAGGGAUGAUACCCCCCUUGACCACUGUUACCUGAGUAGCAAUAGUCAUGUAUCAACACCAAACCCCGGCAGCGCUGCACGCUAAAGUGUAUGUAUGCCAAAAAACAAUUUCCAAUGAUGGUCAAGUCAAAUCCUUUGUAGACGACUUAAUUAAGGAACGUGGUACUGUAAGCAUGAG